rnacentral:lncRNA from 1 species
AACGGCCAUAACUCACUCAAUAUGAAGGUAUGAUCAAAUGGUUGGUGUCCCUGGAAAGUAGACACAUAGACCUUUCCAAUGGUACUAAUUUCACCAUUUUCCAGUGAGUGAGAUUUCCUAUAGGUCUCGUGGAAGUUGACCUACAAAACUUGGCAGAUUCUGAUUUCGCUUUUGAUGUGUCUUUCUUAUGUAGGGAUAGAAUAAGCCUCAACCUUUCAUACCAUUAAGUAUUGAAAAAGGAGUUACUGCCAUUACAUUGGCGUUGCGUGGGCGCAUAGCUACACUUAGCUUUACAACUUUUCAUAGCGAAUGAGAUGUCAAGUCUUUUGUAUUGUGUUGAGUACAUUGAUGCGUCUUUUUGUACUUAGAUGGGAACUCCAUCUCUUAACACAUAUUUGUCAUCUUGCUUUAGACAAAACAACGGAUCUCUCUUUAGAGCAAAGACCUUGACUAAUCAUGGGAGUAUACGUAGGCCUCACUAGUUAUAGAGCGCCUAAGCCGAUUGAUCAUCAAUACAGUCAUCGAGUGCCUUAUCGAGACUGUGUCUUCCCAAGAUCUUUUUCUUCGGAUGUUGAUACAUAUUGGCAUCUCUUGAUCCAUCAAGAAUCCAUGUAAAUCCGGAAUGAACACACAAAGGCAUAAUUCACCAUAUCCCUUCCAAAUCAAGUAGAGUUCAUGUGCGUUUCAAUACAUUUAGCAAACGCAUGCUCCUGUGGAUUGGAGCAACUUGAUUUGGAUGAAUGAAGUCUGUUUAAGAUCUUCAUGUAUAUCUCUGAUCCCAUAGAGAUGUUAUUAUGACCACAUUCAUAGGCUGCAUGUUCAGUUAGUCGGAAACUACCAAACUGACAAAGUAGUAGAGUUCAAUGACAUCCAUUACGAGAGCAUAUCCUCAUCGUAGUCGACCCAGUGCGUGUUAGUGAGAGACCUUGCGCCAUAAGGUGAGUCUAAGCUCUUGUUCUCACUACGCUAUCUAACAAAGGUAUAGUUGAUAGGGUUUAGCUUGCGGUGUCGGCA